rnacentral:tRNA from 1 species
GGGGUUGUGGCUCAGUGGUAGAGCGCUUGCCUAGCAUGCACGAGGCACUGGGUUCGAUUCUUGACACCA